rnacentral:tRNA from 2 species
GCGCCUGUAGCUCAGUGGAUUAGAGCAUCUGACUACGGAUCAGAAGGCCAGGGGUUCGAAUCCUCUCAGGCGCU